rnacentral:rRNA from 1 species
GAUGAUGGCUCAGGAUGAACGCUAGCUACAGGCUUAACACAUGCAAGUCGAGGGGCAUCAGGGCAUUAGCUUGCUAAUGCCGCUGGCGACCGGCGCACGGGUGAGUAACACGUAUCCAACCUGCCUUCAACUCAGGGAUAGCCUUUCGAAAGAAAGAUUAAUACCUGAUAGUAUGUAUUUUCCGCAUGGCCUUUACAUUAAAGGGUUCCGGUUGAAGAUGGGGAUGCGUUCCAUUAGA